rnacentral:lncRNA from 1 species
CCCCACUGGAGGGUUUUAAGAGGUCAUCUGAGUUCCAUUUUAAAUAAAUGACUUCAGCUCCACUCAUUAAGGUGCCUUCCUGCCUGCAGCAGGGCGUCAGCAGAAACCUCCAUGGUAUUUUCUAUGGAUUUUAUUUAUUUUUUGUGGGGUGGUAGGGAGCUCGAUUACUCGUUAAUACCAGAAAGUAAAGGAUUCAAAAACUGAAGGAAAUAGGGAACAGUGGAACAUGUGUCUGGGCACGCCGUCAGCUUCAAGCAUGUCAAGAAUGUGGUUGGAAUGGCUUUGCCAUCACUGGAAUGGUCGUAGGGCCACGCAUCAGUCCUUCAUUUGGCACCCUUGGUCAUGAUCUUCAAACAAGCUCACUCUACCAUGUGGUCAGUUUUUAUAUGAGACUUACAGGUAAUUUAAAGGAAGAUUAGCUGUGAACUAACAUCCGCUGC